AGGUGCAGCUGGUGGAGUCUGGGGGAGGCUUGGUACAGCCUGGGGGGUCCCUGAGACUCUCCUGUGCAGCCUCUGGAUUCACCUUUAGCAGCUAUGCCAUGAGCUGGGUCCGCCAGGCUCCAGGGAAGGGGCUGGAGUGGGUCUCAGCUAUUAGUGGUAGUGGUGGUAGCACAUACUACGCAGACUCCGUGAAGGGCCGGUUCACCAUCUCCAGAGACAAUUCCAAGAACACGCUGUAUCUGCAAAUGAACAGCCUGAGAGCCGAGGACACGGCCGUAUAUUACUGUGCGAAAGACGACUACUGGGGCCAGGGAACCCUGGUCACCGUCUCCUCA
rnacentral:lncRNA from 1 species